AGAUAACAUAAAUAAGGCAAUAUAAAAUAAACCUUUGUACAAUGGCAGUCAUAAUUAAUUAAAGAAACUCGCUUCUUAAUCGUAAAUACCCGUUUAAUUUAACUGUAUUAAUUAAGCUUAUAUACCGCCGUUAAGACUUAACAUAAUAAUAAACCAAAACUUACAUUUAACAAAAAUCAGGUCAAGGUGUAGCCAACAAUAAAGUGAAAGUAAGUUACAUUAAACAAAAAUUUAAGGAAGAAAGCCAAAAACCAAUCAGAAAAAGAAUUUAUAUGUACAUACUCAAUUAAAAUUAACUAUAGAAAUACACUAUAAUGAUGC
rnacentral:rRNA from 1 species